rnacentral:rRNA from 1 species
GAUGAACGCUGGCGGUGUGUCUAAGGCAUGCAAGUCGAGCGAGACGGUCUGCUGUAGCAAUACAAUGGAUCGUCUAGCGGCAAACGGGUGAGUAACACAUUGGUAACCUGCCUCCGAGACGGGCACAACACUGCGAAAGCGGUGCUAAUUCCCGAUGGCCUCUUCGGUGAGAAUCCGAAAGAGUAAACGCCCAAAAGGACGCUCGGAGAGGGGCCGUAUGGCCUANCAGCUAGUUGGUGCGGUAAUGGCGCACCAAGGCGACGACGGGUAGCAGGCGUGAGAGCGCGACCUGCCUCAGUGGGACUGCGACACUGCCCACACUCC